ACGAACGCUGGCGGCGUGCUUAACACAUGCAAGUCGCACGGAAAGGCCCUGCUUUUGUGGGGUGCUCGAGUGGCGAACGGGUGAGUAACACGUGAGUAACCUGCCCUUGACUUUGGGAUAACUUCCGGAAACUGGGGCUAAUACCGGAUAGGAGCUCCUGCUGCAUGGUGGGGGUUGGAAAGUUUCGGCGGUUGGGGAUGGACUCGCGGCUUAUCAGCUUGUUGGUGGGGUAGUGGCUUACCAAGGCUUUGACGGGUAGCCGGCCUGAGAGGGUGACCGGCCACAUUGGGACUGAGAUACGGCCCAGACUCCUACGGGAGGCAGCAGUGGGGAAUAUUGCACAAUGGGCGGAAGCCUGAUGCAGCAACGCCGCGUGCGGGAUGACGGCCUUCGGGUUGUAAACCGCUUCCGCCUGUGACGAAGCGUGAGUGACGGUAAUGGGUAAAGAAGCACCGGCUAACUACGUG
rnacentral:rRNA from 1 species